GAAAGAUGUAGUUGCAACAUAUCAAUCAAACUUUUGGGGACCAUGGUGGAACUACAAUAUGGUGCCACAAGAGAAAAAGGAUGCAUGGUGGACAAGUUUUGUGCAAAAAUACUAUUGGGAUCCUCAACAUCACAGUGAGGUUCGUUCUCACUGGGAAGAAAUUCACCAAAACUCAAUCAGAGACCUUGUGAGCAUGAGGAGGAGAUCAAAAGCAAAAAAAGAAGCCAGACUUCAUUGGCCUAGCUGACUGGAACAUGAUGCUUGAGAUUUGGGAGGAGGAGCCCCACCAAAAGAGGAGCACAACAAAUUCAAAGAAUGCCACUUCAAAUCCAGAUGGUUUAGGCACUCACCGUCAUACUUCAGGAUAAAAAAAUCACACUCGUAUUGCUUAUGACAUGACGGUUGAGGCUGGUGGAGUAGCACCAGCAUUAACUGAGUUAGUGCGUAAGACCCACACUUCAAGAGAUGGCACCUGCAUUGACAAACGAGCAGAAGCUUAUGUGAAGGCAGCUGAAGCUCUUGCCUUGGAGCGAUCACAAAGUUCCACAGAGACCGGUGAAACUGCCUCCGCACCCUCUAACCAGCAGCUCAAUGCUCUGCUUAUAUUGAAAUGGCAACUAAUACUAAAGGUAGAGUCUAUGGGCUUGGUUCACUUCAGUAUGUUGAUGUUGAACCCAAGGAGUCUCCGGCAGCUUCUCUGCGUAGAAGCGUUGAAGUUGAUGGACGAUUGACCACUGUGGAGGGUGUUGUGACUGGGUUGAAACAAAGCAUCGACUUGUUGUUGAAGAUGAAUGGAGUGGAUCCUGUUACCCAUCAACCUAUUCCACGUGAGAGUGGUGCAUCUGUUCCAAGUCCUCAUUCUGAUUCUAGCCAAGAACUUAACCAGCACUCUCCCACUCCUUAACACUUCAAUCUAUCCUAGGUGUAUUUUGUGUUUCCUUGUGCAAUAUUAAUCUCUAACAUCCAUAGAUGUCUUUUGUAAACACAUCAUUAGGUGUCUAUUGUAAACAUCGUUAGAUGUCUUUUGUAAAAACAUCUUUAGAUGUCUUUUGUUUAAUUGAAGACCAUCAAUAGAUGUCUUCUUUA